UCCAUAGGUUAAUGAGGCGAACCGGGGGAACUGAAACAUCUAAGUACCCCGAGGAAAAGAAAUCAACCGAGAUUCCCCCAGUAGCGGCGAGCGAACGGGGAGGAGCCCAGAGCCUGAAUCAGCAUGUGUGUUAGUGGAAGCGUCUGGAAAGGCGCGCGAUACAGGGUGACAGCCCCGUACACAAAAGCGCAUGUGCUGUGAGCUCGAUGAGUAGGGCGGGACACGUGGUAUCCUGUCUGAAUAUGGGGGGACCAUCCUCCAAGGCUAAAUACUCCUGACUGACCGAUAGUGAACCAGUACCGUGAGGGAAAGGCGAAAAGAACCCCGGCGAGGGGAGUGAAAAAGAACCUGAAACCGUGUACGUACAAGCAGUGGGAGCACCCUUUGGGGUGUGACUGCGUACCUUUUGUAUAAUGGGUCAGCGACUUAUAUUCUGUAGCAAGGUUAACCGUAUAGGGGAGCCGGAGGGAAACCGAGUCUUAAC
rnacentral:rRNA from 1 species